GUUACUAGGAGGUGGCAAGGAGAUAAAGCCUCUGCAGCAUUGUCCAGAGGCACGGUGACUUGGGGGUGUUAGGGUAAGGCAGCCCUUCGAUGAAGGAGCUGGCCUCUGCUCAUAUCCAUCACUUCUGCUGUCCUGCAUUCUGCUCUCUCCUCUGCUCUGUGAAGGAGUUGAGGAAGACAAGGAACGGGAGGAGGCCAGGAGAGCAGAAAGCAAGCUGUCCCCAGUUACCAGCCACAGGAGGACCCUGGGCCUGACUCUUCCCUCCUGGUGUCCACCUGCAACCCUGAAAGCUGCAUUUUCCCUCAAUGUGGCCAGGCCUCCACUUGCAGCCUGGCUACCAGUGAGGGGACCUCGGGACAGGGAUGGCUCCAGCUGCAAACAGUUCCUAGAAAGUCCAGCGGAAUGGAUAUCAUUCCUUUGCUGGCUUCUAUGGUGAUUAAGGGAAUACCUCAGAGGGCUUCCCUGGGCACAGUGUGCAAGAUGGGACAUGGUAGGUGGCUCUCCAGGAAGAGGCUCUAGAAUCCAGAGCAUUCUGUUCUGCUGGCAACAUCGUGGUAAAGAUGCCACCAACUCUGCUUGGCUUUGCAAACCUCAGGCAUCCAUCGAGAGUCAAAGAGAGGAAACAUCUGUUCCGGGCUGGGGGCCUCCUCCCUGCUGGUGGGGGCUCAUAGGAAGAGAUGGUUGAAGGUCUUGCAACCUCGAAAUAAACCAACGGUUCAGCUGAGUUCUGCACAUGCAUUCCUGUCUCCACCCCACCCCACCUUCGUGUUGGACAUCUUCUAGGGACUGCCCCACCCUGCCACCCAACAGACAGCUGAAGCCAUCUGUUUCAGACACAAGAGCAAUCAGCAACCUGAGUGGGGCUCCAGGGUAUCCCCGCUCGGCAGUGAACUACAGGUGGUCACAAAGCCAGCAGAGGGUGACACUGGACACACCUCCAGAUCACCUCUUCCUUCUCUAUCUAUCUUUUCAAAAGUCUAUACUACACCAAGCAGUAACCCUAAUUGUAUUAUCAGAUUAUCAUGGUGUCCUGAGAGGUAGGAAUUCAUCUUUUUACAGGUGUUAGAGGGAACAGAGAGGUCAAGGAACUUGGCCAAGAUCACACAACGUUUAAGUAGCAGAGCUUAGAUUCAAACCCUAUCAGACCCAGCUUCUGACCUGCCAUCUACCUCACACCUGAGUACCCUGGACCCUCUUUUCCCCACUAGACUCAAUGGUCUUCACACUCCAAACACCAUUUUGUAACAGCUGGUAUUAUUCAGCCAACCUCUUUCCCCUUCAUUUGUCCAUUUCUGUCCUGAGCUGA